ACUCUCCGGGCGUGCUUUCAUUUCGAUCUCCUCUAAGAUUGCUGCCACUUAACUUUUUAUUGCUCUCAACCUCCGACUGCUGCAGGAGCUUAAGCUCCUCCUCACCGACCUUCCACCUCUUCCUUCAUGCACCAAUUCGAAUCGAAUCACUCGUUUUCUCUCUCCAACUCAUCCUAUUCUGAUUUCCCCCAAUCCCAUUCCUGAUGGUAUCCAGGUCCAAAAUCCUCUUCAUCAACAGCACGAAAAAGUUCAUCAUCUAGGCCAGCGCCAAGGCCAGCCAUUGCACCUACUUUUUGGUCCGAGAAACUACCCUCUCCAGCCCAGCAAAGUCCGAAAUCCUCGAGAACUUCAAGGAUCGGGACUUCAAUUUUGUCCUGGGUGAUCUAUACGAUCAUUGCUGCAAAACCUUUAUAAUCGGACUCUAUUUUAGUCUCUGACGUCGGAAUUGGGAUCAGUCUCGAAGAGCUUUGUGGUGUAUACCCUUUUCAAGAUACGGUCAUCACCGAUUUGAAGUUUUAGUUUGUUUGUGAAUUUUUUUUUCUUUUGGAUUUGUAAUUUAUCCUUUUGUACCUGACCAGUUGUGAUCCAAUUAUUUUUUCGCACGUUUUGAUUUUCCUGUGAAUUUAUAUGGGUUUAGAUUUUUAUUGUUAAUUUAUUGAUGUUGGGGGAUCAUUUUGGCUUAUAGAUUGGUUUGAACAUUUUUUUGUCUUUGUUUUUUCCUUUGUGUAGUUUUAGUCAGAUUGAAGUGUUCUUUUCAAUUUCAUGUUUAAUUUAAGUGUUUAGGAUUAUCUACAUAUAUAUAAUCAAUUUUGAAAUUUUAAACCAAAUCACUAUGCUGCAAUCAAACCCACAGAUUGUUGGGUCCAAAAGAAGAAGAAGAAGGAGUGAACAACAUGAAAUUGGCUUUGGAUAAGCUUCCACUCUCUUCUGUGUAUAAACUCUUUGAAAAGUGAUUUUGGUUGGUGCUUUCGAAAAAGAUGAUGGCAAUUUCAUAUUUGGACAGAGAAAACAAUAGGCAUGUAUAAUGAAGUGGAAUUUUUCGUGGUAUUAUCAACAUGCCUGUUAUAAAGAAUUCUUCAUUAAAUUUUUUGGGGGUUUGUUUUGUGCUGUUUCAUUCGUGAAUUGUGUGUUUUGUUGUAUCUAAUUUUGGUUUUUGUUCUACCCAUUACUUAAAUUUUGCUGCUUUCCAUUCGAUUUUCAGCCACGAGUAUACAUCAUUGAAGAAUGUUAAUGAAUCCAAACAUGGGUUUUGGGGUGUUCUUGCUAGAAAAGCCAAAGACAUUCUCGACGAUGAUGAUAAUGGAGUUCAGGAUUAUCAUUCACCUCGAACAACAAGGACAGAUAUACUGUCUAUGCCAACAAGAGGGUAAGAGGGGAGCUCAGCAUGAGGGUGCUGUUGGUUUACCUUGCCUGGAUGUGUUGCAAGUGCAGAGCUGUUCAAGAAAAAAGAUUUUAAAGGAUCCUUUGCACAUGCAGGAUCUUCUGCCAAGUUUUGUCUGGAGUGCACAUUUUGGUUGUAUGCAUGUUGAAGAGGCUGCGAGGAAAGGAUGAUGGUAUGGGAACUUGAAUGCAGAAAUAGUACUUUUACGUUAUUCCUUCACUAUAUCGUGUUCACUUUUUCUUCCUAUGCAGUCAUUAAUGCUGGAGUAGCUGGAUGUUGCGCUGGUCUUGCUCUUAGUUUUCCAAGUAUCCAUCGUAUUACAGAGUUCGAUAAUUUAUAAUUAGCUAUCAUUGACCGUGCUAUUAAAAUUUAAAUGGAACUCCCGAUUUUUGUUCUCUCUCAUUUUUGUUGCUCUACUGUGGUUACAUUUUUUAAGUGAUCAAGCUUUGUGAUUGCGUAUAUAUUGAUUGAUCUGUUUCUUAAAAUUGUGGUUAAAAGAAACCUUUUUGAGAUUAUGUGAAAAUCCAUUUUGUCAAUCAAUCUGAUUAGUUAAAUGUCUCUUUAGGUAUGAUUGGGUCCCAAAAGAAGUUAAAAGACUGCAACUUUAUUCAGGACGGAAUCAGAAUCAAAUUCUUCUAGCACUUUCUCCGAUUUCCCAAAAGGAAGCUCAAAGGAUGAUUAAGAAGAAAAGGAAAUCAUAGAUUGGAAAAUAGAUGGGCAAAGAGGCAUAGGAAUUUCUAGUGUCCCAUACCCGUGACAUAAAAGGUAUAAAAUUGUUAAUUGAUAAUUGAACAUAAAUGCACUGAUUAUGAAUAAGUAUGGUUGCUUUGUGCAAUGUAUUAAAAGUGUGAGGUGUGAGCGAGGCGUCCGAGGGAUAGCCCGGCAUAGGGAGGCGUGAAGCGAAGUCUCACGAGGCCUAAAUUUUUUAUUAUAUAC